rnacentral:rRNA from 1 species
UAACACCAGCGCCACGAGUGGCGGCCAUUGUUAUUUGGCCUAAAGCGUCCGUAGCUGGUUUUGUAAAUCUUUUGUGAAAUUGUCAAGCUCAACUUGACAGCGAGCAAGAGACACUGCAAGACUUGAGACCGGGAGGGGUAAGGAGUAUUUCUUGGGGACUGGUAAAAUGGGAUAAUCCAAGAAAGACUACCGGUGGCGAAGGCGCCUUACCAGAACGGUUCUGACAGUGAGGGACGAAGGCUAGGGGAGCGAACCGGAUUAGAUACCCGAGUAGUCCUAGCAGUAAACGCUGCGAGUUAGGUGUUGCACAAUUUAUAAGGUUGUGCAGUGUCGUAGAGAAGUCGUUAAACUCGCCGCCUGGGAAGUAUGGUCGCAAGACUG